GCAUACAUUGUCAGAUCAGCAUACGCAUAGUGCAAACUAACUGCAUCUAACCCCCUAACCCUAACCCCUAACCCUUAACCCUUAACCCUACCCUUUACCCUAACCCUAACCUUAACCCGCAUGCGCAUUAACGUAAUGUAUGCUACUCUGAUGCGUAUGCUAAACUGACAGAACACCGGCGUUGAUUUGGUUUCCAUGGAAACUUUCAGAUUUAACGCUUGACUGAAGUUAUAAAACAGCAGCAAAGUGAAACAAUCACUGUCUAAAACCAGUUCCGACACAUAAUGGACUCAACUGAGGAGACAAAUAACCCACAGCAAACAGCAGAGCUCGGUUCGGUUCCGCCUGCUGGCUGCGAGGAGAGCCGGGAUGAAACCAGGAGGAAAGGCGCCGCGAAGCAGCUCUUUGGAUCCGGAACAAAAGUUCUGUUUCCCGGAGAGAAACGUCCUGAAAGCGAAGACCUGCAGGCAAACCUGAUUAUCCAGAACCAGGCUGCAAAACAUUAUACAGCUGGAAAAGAGGCGAUGGGGAAGUUCCAGUAUGAGAGGGCUGCCCUCUGCAUCUACAAAGCCGCCACUCUGCAGCCGGAGCAGUCUCAGCUGUAUGCCAGCCAGGCGGAGGCCUUUCUCCAGCUGUGUGACUUCCAGUCUGCAGUGAGCUGUUACAAACAGGCCAGUUUCCUGGAGCCUGGAGCCUUCAGCGCCCGCUUGGCCUUUGUCUACUUCCUCCAGGGCCAGUGCUUGUGUGACCGAGGCCUGUUCAGUGAGGCUCUGCAGGCUUUCAGCCAGGCUGCUGAGAUGAAGCCUGGAUCCAGGAUUUAUGAACUCAGAAGCCUCGUCUGUCUGGCUGCCGCAGGUCGUCAUGCCGACUGUCUGAAGCUGCUGACCGACCGCAUAACUCAGAGUCCCACAGCUGAUCUGCUGGUCUUCAGAGCCCGGCUGCACAAACAGCUCAACCAGAUGUCUGGUUGUCUUGGCGACCUGAAGUCGGCGUUAGCGCUGAGCCCAGCCAAUCAGGAAGCGCGAGUUCUGCUGCUGCAGCUGCGGGAGGCCAGCAAGGAGGCCCGGCACCAGGCGGUGAACAGGACUCUGUGUGGGCAGCUGCAGGAAGCCCUCUGCUUGGUAAAUAUCGCUCUGGAGCUCAGGCCUCAGCACAGACGCCUCUACCUGUUCAGAGGGAUUCUGUUCAGACGUCUGAAAGACUUCACGGCAGCCGUCAAGGAUUUGGUCCAAACUAUGGAGCUGAGCGAGGAGGAGGAGGAGGAGGAGGAGGAGGAGGAGGAGGAAGGCAAGGACGAGAGCGACUCCAUCAAAGAGGAGGCCCAGUUUCAGUUGGUUCUCACCUACAAUGACUUUGCUGUUCAGUGCUUUAACAGAGCGCUCUACGCCGAGGCCACGCUGCUUCUGAACAAGGCCUUGGAGGAGGAAAAGGGCCUGGCCGGCCUCUACCUGAACCGAGGAGACUGUUUCUUUAAGCAGGGGGAUUGGCUCUACGCUCUGGCAGACUACCAGCAGGCCGAGGAGAUGAUGCGGCCCAAUGACCCGGCAGUCCGGCUCCGUCUUGCUGUCGUCCACAACGCACUGGCUUCUUCCUGUUUCCAGGACGGAUGUUUCCAGGUGGCAGCUGACAUGUUUUCUUUGGCCAUCCGGUACAACCCCAUCACUGCUCACUACUACGAGAACCGGUCCAAGACUCACCGCAAGCUUCUGGACCUAAGGGGGGCCAGGGAGGACUUGAUUCGUCUGAUGAUCCUGGACCCCACCAAUGAAGAGGUUCCCCCGAUGCUGAUGAGCAUGUUUCCGGGCUGCAGUGUGUCUGAGGUGGUGUCCAGCCCUAAAGGACGAGCAGUCAGAGUGCAGCUGAUGGACGCCAUCCAGAACCUGAGUUCCUCCUCCGAUCCACAGAGGUCAGAAAGCCAUCACUUGUUUUAAAGAACCAGCGUUCUGCUCGCAGCCGUUCAGCGGUAACGUCUUCGUGGAGUUUUUCAUCUUUCCUCUGAGCUGCGUUCUCGGUAGUGGUGUACUUUUUGGCAUGCUUGGUUACAGCAGUGAACCGAAUCCACCAAAAACCGCUUUGUCCUCCGUGUUUCUGAAGAGUUUUCCAGCCUGACGUGGAAUGCUGCAGGACGACCGUCUGAUGUCUCACACUCACUCGUCCACACGCCUCACCAGAGAUGAUGGACACGGACAGGUUGAAAAGCAGCAGAACAUCCUGCAAAGAGGAGAGGAACCGGAACCGAAGUGAAGGAUUCAGUUUUUCCAUGACCGUCCUGCACCGCCACGUCUGAACCACCGUGCAGAGACCUGGGCUGUCUGGACCUCACGGCUCCGAAAAGGCACCAUGAAACCCAACAAGAUCUUCCAGCUACACCUCAGUGACACUUUUCAGUCAAACAUGGAGAAUCCAGAAAACCAGUCUUAAAUGUUCAGAAAACACUUUCUGUUCUUUUAAAGUCGAGAAAAAUUUAAUAAAAAUAACUUGAGUGACUAAAACUUCAACAUUUCAUGUCCAUCAGUUUUCCUGAAGAUCUGACAGGAAGUCAUGUUUGCUUCAGAAGCUCUGAAAAUCAGAUUCAGGCUCAAUUAGCUCAAGAAAGAAAUACAAAAAGUACAUGUCACACCUGCCUAAUCCUGAAUGAAAUGAUUCAAUCAGAACAGGGAGGAAUGGACUUUAAUCAGGGUGUAGUUUGAGCGGCAGUCCAGCAGGUGGCAGCA